UAUCAGGCAUACAGGCACGGUGGAUCUUGUUCCAUAUGAUGAAGGCGUGGUGUGAGAACACAUCAAUGAUGUUAUGGAAGUUGACCAGGGGCCAGCAGGCAGUCAUCCUUCUGCAGCUGUAAGUUCCAAUCACCUUGUCCAGGCUGUCCACGCCUCCUUUGUGGUUGUAAUCCAGGAUGAUGACUGGCUUCCUGUCCUCACGAUCACUGAUCUCAGUCGUUUUGUGCAGUGUGCUCAGGAGGACAACAUUCUUGUUCCACUUUGGGAGGCCGGUGGUAGCUGGUCCCCUACAGGACGGUGAGGUGCCGGAGGUCCCUCCUCCCCCUCUGGACAUCGAGCGGUCCCCGCCGUAUACGAUACAGGCCAAUCUGGACUCGAGACGCCGGGUGAGGGGCCUGCAGUACCUCGUGGACUGGGAGGGGUACGGUCCGGAGGAGAGGUGCUGGGUACCGGUGGGGGACAUUUUGGAUCCGUCAAUGUUGAGGGAUUUCCAACGCCUCCAUCCGGAUCGCCCUGUGCCUUGUCCUCCGGGUCGACCUCGAGGCCGGUGUCGGCUGGUGUCGGCUCGCGUCGGGGGGGGUACUGUCACGACUCCGACCGAAGGUGGCUCCCCUUCCCAUUCGGGUGGCGCUCGGCGGUCGUUGUCGUCGGCCUACUAGCUGCCACUGAUUCUUUCCUCCCCCUCCUUAUAUGUGUUUAUUGAGUACACCUGUUUUGAGUUGGGUAUAAUUAGUGAGGCGUUAUUAGUCAGCCGGCCCGCCUGGUUCUUUGUGCGGGAUUAUUUAUUGUGACCUUCUGUUUUAUAGGUGAGGAACGUGUUUGUUCCUGGUCGUGCAUUUUGGUUGUGAGCACCCUGUGUUACGUUUUAUGCAUUAAAGAGCACAGCAUCGCACUCUAUGUUUCCUGCAUCUGACUCCACACCCAUGACACCGGAGCUUUCCAAUUAUAUACAUUUUAUGAUAUCAAUAAACUUUGUGCCACACAUCAUAAUCAGUACAAGCUUAAAAAAUAUAUUUUCCAUGCAUCAUAUGUGUCC
ensembl:lncRNA